rnacentral:rRNA from 1 species
GAUGAACGCUAGCUACAGGCUUAACACAUGCAAGUCGCGGGGCAGCAUGGGGGUUGCUUGCAAUCCCCGAUGGCGACCGGCGCACGGGUGAGUAACGCGUAUCCAACCUGCCCUUCACCACGGGAUAACCCGGCGAAAGUCGGACUAAUACCGUAUGUUGUCCAUUGACGGCACCCGAUUUGGACGAAAGGUUUGGCGGUGAAGGAUGGGGAUGCGUCCGAUUAGCUGGACGGCGGGGUGACGGCCCACCGUGGCGCCGAUCGGGAGGGGUUCUGAGAGGAAGGUCCCCCACACUGGAACUGAGACACAGUCCAGACUCCUACGGGAGGCAGCAGUGAGGAAUAUUGGUCAAUGGGCGUAAGCCUGAACCAGCCAAGUAGCGUGCAGGAUGACGGCCCUAUGGGUUGUAAACUGCUUUUAUGCGGGGAUAAAGUGGCCCACGUGUGGGUUUUUGCAGGUACCGCAUGAAUAAGGACCGGCUAAUUCCGUG